UACGUAGGGUGCGAGCGUUAAUCGGAAUUACUGGGCGUAAAGCGUGCGCAGGCGGUUUGUUAAGACAGAUGUGAAAUCCCCGGGCUUAACCUGGGAACUGCAUUUGUGACUGGCAAGCUAGAGUAUGGCAGAGGGGGGGUAGAAUUCCACGUGUAGCAGUGAAAUGCGUAGAGAUGUGGAGGAAUACCGAUGGCGAAGGCAGCCCCCUGGGCCAAUACUGACGCUCAUGCGACGAAAGCGUGGGGAGCAAACAGG
rnacentral:rRNA from 1 species